rnacentral:lncRNA from 1 species
CUUUCGGAAGCUUUUGAUGCCACCAUUGCCUUGGAAGGCCUCACUGGCAAUGGCUUGAAGAAGGCAUCAGAGCCUGGCACCUUCUUAUGGCUUACAGGAGUAAUUGGCAUAGCCAUGGAAACUGCGGAGGUAGAGGCCAUUGCUAUCCUCUCUUUUGCUGUUCCUUGGUUUUUCUUUUCAAAAUUUUAAUUGAAUGGAUGUUGUUUUCAGAAGAUGGAAUUAGAUAUUAGAGGGAGCAUUUGGUGAUGAGAGGUGGGAAAUUUGGGAAGAUUUUGCAAGUGCAUCUUGGUCCUAGGUGGCAACUUCUCCACUCUGUGAGGUAGAUAAGGUUAUCCACUUGUCAUUGCCACUUGUCAUUAAUCAUAUUUUUAUAUGUGUAAAUAUAUGAUACAUUUAUUUACUUCACAAUUGUCCUCAGCAUUCCACCAUCAAGUCAUUUAUAUAGCUAAGAUUUCAUCUAUUAACGAUGAUUUUCAAGUUAAUUUUACUGAUAGGACCAGUAAUUCAUAAGUUAUUUGAUUCUCAUGCCAGACUUUGAUCCCAAGGCAUUUUACAAAGUCUGAGAACGAUCCGGAGAGACUGCGGAGCAAAGAGUGCACACGAGCACAUGUGUAGGCAUGUAAUGCAAAAUCUGCAGCUAAAGACAUCACCAGGUGCUCACCUGCACUACUGUCUCUUUGCAUCUGAUGCUCAUACAUUACCUUCAUUAUUCACCACAAUCACACAUCCCAUCUUCGUCUUGAAUAAUUUUACCGCAUUAAAGCACAAAUUUUCAUCCUCCCCAACCAAAUCGAGCCAAUAGGCUGCAGCGGAUACCGCUCUCUUCCAAUGAUACGAAUUACAUAGAAUUAUUUGGAGUGCAUAACAUACAUGAACCUUCAUUACAUUGGUCAUGUUCCUAUAUUAUUCUGUUCUAUCCGUACGUUGGUGAGGCAUCUGGCUUUUGUAUUGUACCUUCAGUAUUAUAAAUUUAAACUCUGGCAGAGCACAAAUGAAUUCAUAUGCACGUGCUAUCUCCA